rnacentral:rRNA from 1 species
GACGAACGCUGGCGGCGUGCCUAAUACAUGCAAGUCGAACGAGAGCAACCGGUGCUUGCCCUGGUCAAUCUAGUGGCGAACGGGUGAGUAACACGUGGGUAACCUGCCCAUCAGAGGGGGAUAACAUCCGGAAACGGAUGCUAAAACCGCAUAGGUCUUCGAACCGCAUGGUUUGAAGAGGAAAAGAGGCGCAAGCUUCUGCUGAUGGAUGGACCCACGGUGCAUUAGCUAGUUGGUGAGGUAACGGCUCACCAAGGCCGUGAUGCAUAGCCGACCUGAGAGGGUGAUCGGCCACAUUGGGACUGAGACACGGCCCAAACUCCUACGGGAGGCAGCAGUAGGGAAUCUUCCGCAAUGGACGCAAGUCUGACGGAGCAACGCCGCGUGAGUGAAGAAGGUUUUCGGAUCGUAAAACUCUGUUGUUAGAGAAGAACAAGUGCUAGAGUAACUGUUAGCGCCUUGACGGUAGCUAACCAGAAAGCCACGGCUAACUACGUG